GAGAACCCCUAGCUGUCAAUCAAGCAGGCGCGGUGAACGGAUUAUGACGCUCAAGCGUUCCAAAUGACGCAACAAUACAGCUCCAGACCAGAGAAAGUUAAUGCCGAGGAUAUUAUUCGGUUCAACACUAAAACUGAGGUUUGACACGUGUGAUUUGAGGUGAGUCAAAUAUUUACAAAAGUUUACAAUACAUUAACCAUCCGCUUCGUUAUUUCUGUUGCUAUCAAUCACUCCAUCUGUAUCUACUCUUCUUUCUGUCUGUCGGACUAUCUGAAUUGUCUGUGUACUGUCUAGCCACCAUAUGCCAGAAAGGUUCUUUCACAAAGGCUCAUAUUCACAAAGUCUCAUAGAAGGAGUGCUGAUCAAUAAUCAGUUUGGUCUUUUAAAUUAAACUGAAUACAUUUUGAUGGACAGGAGGCGACCUGAUCCUAGAUCAGCACUCCUACCCUGAAACACUUUGUGAACACAAUCCAGGUGUACUGUGAUGAGAUAUUAUUAUAUUAGUUGUGCUGAUGCAUGAUGGGUUGUAGGCUAGAGCUUGAGGACUCAACUCUGAAGACUGUUUCUGAAUUCACUGACCUGGUGAGUAAAUGUUGUGUACAAUGGCACCAUCUAGUGACAGAAACAUAGAAACACACAUUGUUGCUGAACGAAGGCAUCUCUUUAUUUUCCAGAAAUAAAACGUGUAGACCUUUCCUGCAGUCUCUGAGGAGAUGGACACCUCUUCUUCUUCUGGACGAUCUCCGUCUCCUACUGGGACUGUCUUCUUACCCCCUCCUAUCAUGUGGAACAGUCUCUAUCAGCAGGCAGAGAUGGAGGUUUACUUCCCGAGAGAAGAGAAGAAGACCUGUACAGAGAAGGAAGCCCACAUGCUUGAGUUGAUGGGGAAGGAUCGAACGAUCCGAAAUCAGAAGAAGGAGAUGGGCAGACUCCAAGUGUGCCUCUGGGAGGAGGAAAAGAAGAAGAGGAAUGGUGAAACGGAGAAGGACAAGAUCAUUGAACAAUUACAGUCUGAGACAGACCAUCUCCGAGCCCUUUUAAAAGAUGAAAGGAGGAGAAGAAGAGUAGAAAGGGGUAUCAUGAAAGAGUGGAAGGCUGAGAUCCUGAGACUGAGGGAGGCAGAGAGCCAGAGGGAGGCAGAGAGUCAGAGGGAGUCAGAGAGCCAGAGGGAGGCAGAGAGCCAGAGAGAAGCAGAGAGACAGAGAGAAGCAGAGAGACAGAGAGAAGCAGAGAGACAGAGAGAAGCAGAGAGACAGAGGGAGGCAGAGAGACAGAAGGAAGCAGAGAGACAGAGGGAGGCAGAGAGACAGAGAGAAGCAGAGAGACAGAGGGAAGCAGAGAGACAGAGGGAAGCAGAAAGAGCCACAGAAGCAAUGGAGCACCAGAGAAAACUGCAGGAGAUCCACAGACUAAAACAACUGCUGGAUUUACUGAUGGUGGACCUACAACUGGCCCACGUAAGACAUGUCAUUGUUAUUAUUAAAAGGCAGUGUAUAUUUACCCAGCUGAAAAUGAAUAGUGGCAGACAGCGGUACGCUAACCCAAUGUUAACUUUUAUUCCUUUCCUUAACCCUUACCUUAACCUCACUGAAACUAUACCUAACCUUUACCUUAACCCAACCCUAGGUCCUGAACCUAACCUUCAUUUAUCUCAACCCCUAUGCCUUUCUUCUGCCGGUUGAAUAUCCAUUUCCUUAUUAACGUCAUUACUGUUGUUGUUGUUGAUAACUGUAUCUGUGCAGGUUGUAAAUAGUUGCAUUAGUGAAACAUCAUCUGUAGGAGUAAUUUCUACAAGCAUAAACAUCAGAGGCAACAUUGUUGUAACAUCACACAAAUUGUAACAGGAAUUUCUCAAACCCCUAACUGAAUGGGCAAGAAGGUUGUGUGUUUGUAUUUGUACACAUUUGGACAUAAUUGAUUCCAUAAAAUGUCUCAUAAUUUUUUCAAACCAUGAUAAUACAUUUAUUGACAAUGAAUUGUCCAGAUGAAUUGAUCAACAUGACCCUGCUAUUGAUGUUGUCCAGUGUUUGAUGCAAUUACCUAGCUCUAGGUUGUAUUUCUGUGUAUCGUUCUCUGCAAAUCCUUUGAAAGUAUGUCUUGAUAAUAGAUUAUCACUAAUUUUACCUUUUAAAAUGAAGCAAGAGAUUGAGAGAUUGAGGCUAUGGCAGAAAGUCAUGGAGGAUCAGCGACCAAGACUGGCCUGGAACAACAAACCUAUUGAGACAGGAAGAGAGAGGGAAAAAGAGAGAGAAAGGGAGAUGGAAAGGAAGAGAAAAGCAGAAUUGGAAAGACAAGAAAUGAAGAAGAAAGUGGAACAGGCAGAAGAAACGAUAAAAGCGUUAGAACGAGAGAUUGAGAGAUUGAAAGAGAUUGAGAAGGAAAUCAUAUUUGAAAGAGAAAGAGACAUGCGUAUUGCAGAGAAUGAGAAAGUCAAACUGGUCAACGAAAAGGUAAAAGAGUUAGAGAGAGAGGUUGAGAGACUGAAAGAAGAUAUGACAACAAAAGAGAUUCAAUACAAAAUCAAAUUUGAAAGAGCGAAAGAAGCGUUUAGAAGACAGAAUGAGAGAGUGAAACAGGUUAACCAAAAUGUACUAGUGUUAGACAGAGAGGUUGUGAGAAUGAAAGAAGAGAUUAGAUUGAAAGACGAGACUGAACCAGAGAGAACAUUUGAUAGAGACAGAGAGAGAGAAAAUGAUUGGAGACGAAGUGAAGAGGANNNNNNNNNNAGAGAGAGAUCAAAAGAAAGAUAAUGGAAAAGAGACAAAAACAUAUCGAAAGAAAAGAAGAGAGACAGAAAGAGAUUGAAAGAGAGCACGAAGAAGAAAGAUGUAAACAGAAGCAAAUAGAGAUGGAAGAGGAAGAACGAGAGAGGGAGAAAGAGAGACAGAGAGAGAUCAAAAGAAAGAGAAUGGAGAAGAGACAGAAAAACAUGGAAAGAGAAGUGAGACAGAAAGAGAUCAAAAGAGAGAAUGAUGAAGAAAUGUGUAAACAGAAGCAAAAAGAGAUGGAAGAGGAAGUACAAGAGAAGGAGAAAGAGAGACAGAGAGAGAUCAAAAGAAAGAUCAUGGAAAAGAGACAAAAACAUAUCGAAAGAGAAGAAGAGAGACAGAAAGAGAUUGAAAGAGAGAAUGAAGAAGAAAGAUGUAAACAGAAGAAAAUAGAGAUGGAAGAGAAAGAAAGAGAAGAAGAGAGACAGAAAGAGAUUGAAAGAGAGAAUGAAGAACAACUAUUUAAACAGAAGCAAAUAGAGAUGGAAGAGGAAGAAAGAGAAGAAGAGAGACAGAGAGCGAUCGAAGAGAAAGAGAGACAGAGAGAGAUUGGAGAGAAAGAAAGACGACAACAACAAGUGGAGAGAAAGAUAAUGUUUGAGAGAGAUCAAGAAGAAGAAAAUAUAUGGAAACAGAAGCAAAUUGACAUGGAGGAGGGAAGAGAGAGGGAGAACAAGAGACAGAGAGAGAUAGAAGAGAUACACAGACGACAACAACAAGAGGAGAGACAGAAACAAAUGGAGAAGGAGAAAGAAAGGGAGAAAGACAAUGACAAUCAGAGAGAGAUGGAAUUAAAAGAUCAGCAACAGAAAGAG
rnacentral:lncRNA from 13 species